GAAAGAUUCAUCGGAAGAGGAUGGGCAUGCGGCGCAUUAGCUAGACGGCGGGGUAACGGCCCACCGUGGCGACGAUGCGUAGGGGUUCUGAGAGGAAGGUCCCCCACACUGGUACUGAGACACGGACCAGACUCCUACGGGAGGCAGCAGUGAGGAAUAUUGGUCAAUGGGAGAGAUCCUGAACCAGCCAAGCCGCGUGAGGGAAGACGCCCCUACGGGUUGUAAACCUCUUUUGUCGGAGAACAAAACCCGGGACGUGUCCCGGACUGCGUGUAUCCGAAGAAAAAGCAUCGGCUAACUCCGUGCCAGCAGCCGCGGUAAUACGGAGGAUGCGAGCGUUAUCCGGAUUUAUUGGGUUUAAAGGGUGCGUAGGCGGUCCGUUAAGUCAGCGGUAAAAUUGCGGGGCUCAACCCCGUCGAGCCGUUGAAACUGGCAGACUUGAGUUGGCGAGAAGUACGCGGAAUGCGCGGUGUAGCGGUGAAAUGCAUAGAUAUCGCGCGGAACUCCGAUUGCGAAGGCAGCGUACCGGCGCCAGACUGACGCUGAGGCACGAAAGCGUGGGGAUCGAACAGGAUUAGAUACCCUGGUAGUCCACGCAGUAAACGAUGAAUGCUGGUUGUCCGGGUCGAAUGAGAUCUGG
rnacentral:rRNA from 1 species